rnacentral:tRNA from 1 species
AAGCCGAAGCACACCUUAUGGGUGUGCGUCUCUAGAUUUGCACUCUAGUGUAAAUACCG